UGUAAUCCCAGCACAUUGGGAAGAUCACCUGGGGUCAGGAGUUCAAGAUCAGCCCGGCCAACAUGAUGAAACCCCAAUUCUAUUAAAAAUAUAAAAAUCAGCUGGGCGUGGUGGCAGGUGCCUAUAAUCCCAGCUACUCAGAGAUUGGGGCAGGAGAAUCACUUGAAUCCAGGAGGCGGAGGUUGCAGUGAACCAAGAUCAUGCCACUGCACUCCAGCCUGGGUGACAGAGUCAGUGAGACUUUGCCUCAAAAAAAAAAAUAAAAAAGAAAGAAAAAGAAAAUUUCACUUUUCUUUCAUAUAUUCAGGCAUUGCUUUAAAGAUAAUUAGCAUUAUCAUUUCUGUCACUUUACGGGUAAUAUUAAGAGAAAUAAAACUCAGGGGGUCUGGCUGAUUUCUGCUCAUUGUUUCUUUUAUUCAGCCAAUAUUCCUGGGGCAUGUACCAUGAACCAGGCUCUGUGCCAGCUCCCGCAGAUGCAAGAUGAAGACCUUGCCCUUGCCCUUGAGUGGAUGGAGAGGACACAGAUGGACAAGCACCUAGAUGAGAUGAGAGGUGUAGGGGUUGGGCUUAGCUCUGCCUGUGGGAACCUGGGCAGGCUUCAUCAGGAGGUGGCGCUCAAGUUCAACUGAAAAUAUGGAUCUCCCAGGAGUGUUGAAGAUGAUGCUGUGCCUGCACUGUAUGAACCUUCUGAAAUGAAGGGGCCUGGAGAUGCCAGCACCAUUGAGUUCCAGGGCACAGAUAUUCAUUGGAUAAUUACUACAUUACAUGCAUCAUCUGAUUUACUUUCCAUGUGUAACUGGAUGAGGUGAGUAUUUUCAUCCUCAUUUCAGAUACGAAAAAUCAGAGGCUCGAAAAGUUGAAUUGAUUUGCCCAAGGCCACAUAGGAAAGGGAAGAGAAAGGAUUUGAACCCAGGCAUUGGACUGAAACCCAAAAUGUUUUCAUGCCACCCUUCUUGCUCCUUGUCUGAAACAAGGAGCUCCAGCAGUGCAGGACCAGCCCAGAUUAGGGGGCUGCAAAAGGGAGAAGGCCAAUAUGAUGAUUGAAAUAGGAGAAAUAGGCCGGGCGUAGUGGCUCACUUGGAAGACUUACAGGAUGACGACAAUAAUAGAAGCCAAGACCUUUCCGUUUCUCCUCCUGGAAAUUACACAAAAGCAACAAAGCAAUACAUACUCCUCUCCUCAUCUCUAACCCUUCCCAUGAUUCACAUUUUCAAGAAUCUAAGAGGCAGAAAUAAUCCACAAAUUCUACAAUACCUGUAAGGGCUGCCCAAAACAUCCAAGGUGGACCUUACAUGGGAGGAAGCACAGCUUGAGUGUCCGUUAUCCAAAACGCUUGAGACCAGAAGUGUUUGGGAUGUCUUUGG